rnacentral:lncRNA from 1 species
CGGCACUAGGGCCCAGGUAAGGUUAAGGCUCCCGAGGCCCGUAGUAAGCCUGAAACACUAAAAAUUUACUGUCUCAAUAUAACUUUAAACAUUUAGCCCAUAUUGAUAUGAAAAAUAUACCUCAAAAUUUUAAUAUACCUUGGCCCAAAUUUAUCAUUUUCAGCAUUACACAGUUCGAGCCCCAUUUACUAUACAACACAUUUCUAAUAUGAGCUAACAGAAUUACUUCAUCUGUAUUACUACACGACUAGAUGUAUGUAAAUUCUACAGCUGCGGAGUCACUAAUUGUUUGUUAUACAUAGCUUCUUAUACAUAUAGUUACAUAGCAAAAUAAUUAUGGAACUAGGAAAACUUCUUAAUAGCCCUGCGGCGAAGAAACAUAGCUUAAACCGAAUUAAAGAGAAGCUUACUUCCUGAAAAAUUUAAACAAGACAUGUGAGUUUUCUAAGGAGUAAUAAUUAUUGCACAACACACGCAGUCACACAAAUGUGUAAAUAUAUCAAUCCAGUCAUCCGACUAGUUAUAUGCUCAUACAGUCGGUCACACAAAUGGCAUAUCACCAGCACUCACAAUUAAUAUCACCUUCAAAUAAUCACAUCACGUGGAAAUUAGUCAGUGGCGUCACCGAAACCCCGAUGAGCCGUCCUCCUACAUGGCUCAUCCACUCACANNNNN